rnacentral:rRNA from 1 species
AACGAACGCUGGCGGCAUGCCUAAUACAUGCAAGUCGAACGAGACCUUCGGGUCCAGUGGCGUACGGGUGCGUAACGCGUGGGAAUCUGCCCUUGGGUUUGGCAUAACAGUUGGAAACGACUGCCAAUACCGGACGAUAACGUAAGCCCAAUGAUUUAUCGCCCAAGGAUGAGCCCGCGUAGGAUUAGCUAGUUGGUGAGGUAAAGGCUCACCAAGGCGACGAUCCUUAGCUGGUCUGAGAGGAUGAUCAGCCACACUGGGAGUGAGACACGGCCCAGACUCCUACGGGAGGCGGCAGUGGGGAAUAUUGGACAAUGGGCGAAAGGCUGAUGCAGCAAUGCCGCGUGAGUGAUGAAGGCCUUAGGGUUGUAAAGCUCUUUUACCCGGGAUGAUAAUGACGGUACCGGGAGAGUAAGCUCCGGCUAACUCCGUG